UUAUGUGGUUGCCUGGGAGACCGGACGUGGGCGCCCGGGCCGCCGCAUCACACACAGCUGAGCCCACAGAGGCCCGGCAAGCGGGCGCCCCGUGGCGGAGUGAGCGGAAGCUGCAGCCUGGGACCCGACGGAUCCAGAGGCCCUUAUCACUCCUCCAUAAGUGAAAUCAGACAAAGUGGAAAGAUGGAUUCCAGCUCAAUUCUGAAGAAAAUGAAUAACCUGAUUUAAGAGAAACUAAAGAUACUUGGGUCUGUUGGAAAACAUGCUUUGUGCCUUAUGGAAAGAAUGUCCUAUGGAAAGUUAUCACCAGGCGCAGUCUACCUAGGAUGGCAAGAUGAUUUAACUGAAUAACAGACAAGACAGAAAUAAGAAAAAAAGGAAGAAAACCAACAGAAGAAGCUGCUUGCUUGAUUUCUGAGUAACUGGCAACACCAGACCCCUGAAUAACUAAACAUGAUGACACAGGAAUAAAAAUGAUGACAGGAAAAUUUCUUUCCUAGAUAUUUGUGCUGCUGUUACCCCAGAGCCCAGCCCGAGAUGCAACCUGCUCAUGUCAGCCUAGCAGGCACUAAGACCCCCAGAUCCCACCUUCACACAGCCCAUUCCUCUCACGCCCACAAAGUGGGCAGAACACAAGCAUCAGGAUAAGAAAGGCCUCAGUGAUGAGGCGACAGAGCAGCAUUUACACAACCAAGACUGGAGCCUCAGGCUUUGUUUCCUCUGAUUCUGCUCCUCCCUGCCCCUCCCCUCCCCCCAAGCCUUCUCUCCCCUCACUGCCUGCUCUUAUUACUUUAGUGGAGUAAGUCCAUUUCAAAGAUCUAUGUCUUUUGUCUGUCUGCUCUCCUACGCACAUGCAUACCCACACAAACACACAAACACACUGAAAAGCCUUAGUAAUCACUCAGGAUUAGAUUUUGCUGAUGGUACGUAAGAAAAUUUCCAUUACUGUUCCUAAAACCAAACUCCAGUUUCAGCUUACUGAGAGUGAAAAAGGGUAAGAAAAUAAUAGGACUAGAGCUCCUAAUAGCUUUUCUUUAUUCCUUCCAUAUGAUCCAAAAAUACCUUACUGGAGGCAGAUUUUUUUUUUAAAAAGACCUCAGUGGGUUUUUCUACACACAAACACAGAGCCCUUACCUUUCAGAAUCAGAGGACAUACUGUGACUAUUCUUAUAGGGAUGUUAUUUUAUUGCUAAUUAAUUCUUAUAUGUGUAUUUUGCCCCAUUACAUC